rnacentral:lncRNA from 1 species
CUCUGGUCUACAUGGCUGAUUUCUAUUUCUCGUUCCAGAUCCAUCUCAGCUGUUGCACUGUCAAUGAAGUCUUCCCUGGCCUCAAGUAAAUUUAGGCUAGAUUUCCCCUUUGUCUUGAACUCUAUUGUUGCAUUGACCCUUCUGUAUCUUAACUUUUUUUUUUUUUUAAUUCCUCUCCUCAAUAACAUGAGAUGCCAGGGUGUUGGAAGCCUGUCAUCUUAUCUGAGCACCUGCCAUGCCCAGCACAGUGCUUCAAGACCGACUUUCCGACAGACCGCCAGCUCUCAACUUCAACUGGGCAUGAAGCUCCAGGGCUGCAUCGCUGUGGGCACAGCAAGCUUCCCCGGUUACCUGAGCUGCUCCUGCGGCGUCCCCCGCCUGGGCUUGGCCGAAGCGGGAGCGGCGGUCGGCGCCGUGCAGAAGAAGCACCUGCUCUGGAGCUCUGACCGGGGCCCCUCGCAGCUGGAAGAGAGGGUGAAGCUGCAGAAGACCCAGGGUGGGACGGAUAGAGAGGACGCCAAGGACCGGGGCCGGGGAGUUAGGAAUACAUCCUGUGCCCGGCGGUCCUCUGCAGGGCAAGGGCAGCAACAGCCCCUGCCGUAGGCACCCAGCUCGGGCUGCUCCCAGGGAUGAGUCUGGGGGGGGAGAGAGAACCAAGCCAAGAUGUGGUGGCAUUUUACCUGAGUGGAGCUGAAGAUGGAUGAACCAGGUAUCUGCUGUGUCUGCCUGGCGAGGCAGACUUGGAGAGAGGCAGAGUGAGGGGAGCGCAUGAAAAGCAAGAGGAGGUGCCGAAUGCCGCUUGAUUGUCUGCCGCUUGGUCUGCAUUCCCAUUCUAGGGAGGAUGGCAUAAUUUAUAACCCAGUACAUGGAUGGAGGAACUGUAAAUUGUAGUCUGGAUGUCCCCGGGGCUGUCAAGGAAGAAACUGAUGGGCUAGGUGACUGUACCAUGUCCCCAGAGAAAAGAGCAGCCUUGCAGCAUGGAUUUAAAUGCAUGUGCGUGCAUGUAGAGACAUGAAAAGAAAGAUUUCUGACCAUUUUACACAGGAAGUCUGUCACUUUGCUGGAUCGGGCUUGAUUGCAGCUUGUAUUUUCAGCUUCAGCUCAACACCCAUUUCCUGACUAGCUAGAGAGCAUGGCCAAAGCAGCUGCAUGCAGAAUUUUCUUGUUAAUGUGAAAGCAAGACCCCUCAGCUUUAACUCCUUGAAGUUCUGAGUGCUCUGUGCUUUGCUAGGACUGAUUGUGGAGUUUUGUUUUCUUCUUCUUCUACAAAUCCCUGUAAACACAGCUGUAUUCAGUAUGGUGAAGAAUUCUAUCCUGUAAAUAGAAAUCUGAUCAAUUUAAUCAAAAUAAAUGUAUCCCAG